GAAACUUAGGAUUACUUAAACCGAAGGCCUUCAAAGCC
rnacentral:tRNA from 1 species